rnacentral:piRNA from 1 species
UAGUACCAGCCCAGUGGAUGCAACGUGGU